GUUCGAGUCCCAAAUAGGACGAAACGCGCGUCCUGGAU
rfam:Schistosoma curassoni strain Dakar, Senegal genome assembly, scaffold: SCTD_scaffold0003184